AGAAAUAGGUAAUUUAAUAAUUGGUCUUGGUGUUUACGUUGUGUAUGUGUUGCAGUACCAAGUCAAAUAACACCAUUAAUUGAUAAUUUUAUUGAAAAAAUAUGUAAAAUGACAUGUAAUAAUAAAGAAAUAUCUGGUUAUAGUUGUGCUCUAUCAGCAAUAAUUGGUUGUGUACUUUUAUCAUCACUUGGUAUACCACAUACAAAAGGUAAAAUAAUAUUUAAUACUGCUGAAAAAUGAUUACGUACAGCAAAUACUCAUAGUCGUCUUGCAUUAAAUAAAAUACAUGCAAGUUGGUUGUUAAUUGGUUCAAUAAUGACACUUGGUACUGGUGUUGUUAAAGGUUUAUGACUAAGAAUGUUAUUAUUAUGAAAAAAUUCAUAUCCAAAAUCACCAGGAAAAUUGGAAAGUGAAAAAUCACGUGGUAAUUUAAAUGCAAAUAACACUUGAAGGUAGAGCUGGUGCAUUGGCACAAGAUAAUUCAUCACCAGUUGUACAAGUAUGGUCAUUAUAUGAAUUAUCAUUAAUUGCUGAUUCUAGUGGUCCAAUCUAUCGUGGCUAUAUUGAACCAACUUUAUCAGUUGUAUUAACAUUAUUGCUAAAUGUAUCAUUUUCAUAUAUUGAUAUUUAUCAAUGUAUUGGUAAAUUAUUAUCAGCACAACAAUUGGUCCUGAAUUACAAGGUACAUACAUCAUCAAUAAGUAUGGCACGUUCAUCAUUUUUAUGUGCAUGUGGUAUAAUGCAACAUCAUGAAAACCCACUUGUACACAAGCUGAAGCAACUGGUUGUUUAUAACAAUUACAUUUAUUUGCACCAAAACAUGUCAAUUUAUCAUCAUUAGUAUCAAAUUUAUGUCGUACUACAUUAAAAUACAGUUCAGCAGCAAUGGAUGAACGUAAAUUAAUACCUGGAAAAGUUGUACUUUGGGAUCAUGAAAUUGCUGUUGAUUGGGCUGAUCCAGUUGAUAAACAAGUCAUGGAAACUGUCCAGGAAGUGUUGCCGCGUAUCAUCAAUGGGAAGUACGUUGGGUAAAAUUAAUUGGUUCAUCAAAAAUGUUGAAAAGACAACGUUCUAUUGAAGAAGCUGUUGCUGCAACCCGUAGUCUUAUCAUGCCACCACAUGACGACAAAAUUUAUUAUGAGAACAACAACAAAAAGCAUCAUACACUGGUUGUAACAAACGUGCAGCAAGAAAAAAAAAUAAAAAAGACACAGAGCUAGUUGUUGCUGAAAACCCAACUGGAUAUAAUCAUAUCCAUAACAUCAACAAAAACGAUGAUGGUUUACAAGAAUUAACAAACUCAAAUGGUCCAGAUGGUAUGAUGAUGCAUCAUGACAUGUCGUAUGAUUAUAAAAAAAUUCUUAAGACAUUUGUAAAUCAAAAUUUCCAGUCACAGUGUCGUUUUGUUAAUAAUAAAAUUUAUGAACCACCUGGU